ensembl:lncRNA
CCCCGGAGAUUUAUGCCCAUAUUCUGGAUCCAUAAAUGAUGAUCAGAAAAUAAUAUCGGCUAUAAGGUCUGUUCACGCUUGCGGUCUUUGACUUUACAAACGGUCUUAGGGGGUAUGAUUCUCUAAUUAGAGGGAAACACUUGUGGUACGUGGCAGGAUAAGCAGUAGUCCACUACAGCCAUCAACAAAUAUAACUGAAAGCACAAAGAGGAAAUGCGAUCCACACCGCCAUCUUCUGGUGACACACGCACACACACCUGAAACAAAAAACUACAGUCUGCCUGUCAUUUGCAGCACAUCUCUUAAUUUAUUCUGAAAGCAUUUAGUUGAACCGUUCUAGCACAGUCAGCAAAGGAGUCUUUAAAAUGCAAUCCUUUGCAUAAUUAUAAACAAUAUUACCUACUCAUAGUUAACGGCUUGAAUCAUUUGAAAAAAUGAGCUUUAACCCAGUGAAUAAGUAUUAUUUACUAGGGGUGGGGGAAAAAAAAAAAAUGAAAAAAAAAAUCGAUUCUUUGAUUUCUCUCAAUUCUUUCUAGAACGAUUCGGUCUCGAUUCAGAAAAGUUAAUAAUCGGAAUAAAAAAAACAAAAACAAAAAAAAGGUGUCUUGCGCGAGAUAUUUGCCCGCUCGAGGAGCGUGAACUUCCUCGCUCGCGAGGUUAAGCCUAGUUUAUGCUUCUGCGUUUUCAGAGCGACGCAGACGCAAGCCCCCCUUGCGUCUGCGUCGCUUUUCACACCUCCUUGCGUCCUUGCGUGUGUCGAGCCAUUUUUACCGAAAGCGACGCAAGCCUCCCGCAGCGCACCAGGAUGCGAUUGGUCCGCUAACUACAUCCUUUACGGAGUCUCACAUUUCCGCUUUCAUAGCCCGAUACCGCCAUUAUUAAAACGAGGAAUGUUUACGAGAGAAGAUUGAAGAACUUUUGUCGGAAGAAAUGCGUAAAUACGACCGCUUAUACAAGCCGUCAUUGGCGGGUUGUAGAAGCGGGUUGGAUUCACGGAGGGAGAUCGCCGCAAACGCCGGUUUGCCGGUCGAGGGCUGCACAAAGUUGUGGAGGAAAAUACGGGACAAAUGUGUCCGCGAUGAAAAGCAGCAGUGGCGAUGCACGGGGCAAUAAAGUCUAUGAUAAAUAAAUCAAUCAAUAAAUAGACGUGACUCUCUAUGUCGUCUUAAACAAAAACACGUUACUCCGCCUGUUGUUCUGGCGGUGAAUUGCUCUGCAACACACGCAAGACUUUUAGAACCAUGGAUUGAAACGAGUGCGUCGACACAACGACGCAGACGCAGAAGCAUGCACCAGCCUUUAGUCUCUGCUCGCGCUUUAAGGGGUUUUCUACGCACUCGCUGUUUUUCUUUUUGACAGUAAGGGGGCGGAGCCAGUCACCAUGGUCUCUACAUCUGAUUGGUUACAAACCGCGUCUUUGGAUUGGCUGGAGUGAUGCAUUCACACAACUAUGGAAGCCCAUUUCCGCACUAAUGUAAGGGGAAAAUUUGAAAUGUCGAAAUUAUGAGAAAACGUUGUCAAAAAACAAACGCCCCCCUUCGGUAAUCGUAGUGGAGCGUAGAUGACAACCAGCUACAACCAUCAUUUACCAUCAUUACCGGCACAUUAAGAGCAAUGCGUCCAGCUCGCAGACCGGUCUGUCAGUCUGAAUCUGUGAAUAUCGAAUAACUUUACUGAACUAUGGAGGAGCCUGCGCAUAUCUUACCUCAUUAUUUUGAUUUUCCAAAAAGUCGAUCCGUAUUGAAAGUUGGCAAGAUAUUCACAGAUUUGGACUUUUUUCCGGUAUUUUACAAAUACGGACCGGUCUGAGACGAAGAAAAGGAAUCUGUUUAAUAUUUUUUUUACAUAGGCUACUUCCAUAUUGUGUUGAAAUGCAAGCUGCAUUGGUUCUUGCAUUGUUGAUAGAAAAUCAUAUUUGUGGCAAAGAUUUUUUUUUCCCUUAUAAAAAAUUAAAAGGUAAUUCAUCUGUUGAUUUUCUUUAAUUAUCAAAUAAAGUAGGAAGUGAUUAGCAACCUUUGAGUAGCAAACUCAGAUUUGAGAAAAUUUAGAAAAACGAGACCCAUCGAUGAUCGUUUUAUCAGUUUAGAAUCGAUAAUCGGUUUGGAAUCGAAUCGUGAGGUGCCAAGAGAUUCCCACCCCUAUUAUUUACUCUGCUGAGCUGUCACAUACCAACAUUGAGCUGGAUGUUCUUGUUCGGUCUACACUGCCACCUGGUGGUGGAUACUAAAGCAUUCCUUACUCAUGAAUAGACCUUGUGUUUUAGGGCUGAUUUCCUCCACUUUGUCAGAGAGCCAUCAACUAAUUCCAAGAUCUAGUUCCAAGAUACAAUGUGUUUUCCUUGUCUGUGCACUGCUCAUCCAAAGAAACAACGUCGGACAUGUCAAACAUUUUGAGUAAACAAGUCUGUUUAUCAGACUGCAAAGUCACUUUAUAAAGUAGUAGAAUUCAUGCUGCAAAUACAAUACUACAGAAUUUGGGCUUUAUUUGCAACUUAAAUCAUGAAAUGUAUACGUAAAUAAUAAUUGCUUAUUAGUAAAAGAAAAGUUUAAUAAAGCCAAAACAUUACCUCAGUUCCUGUCAUGUAUGGCUUUUCAUUAGCCACUAGAGGGACUCGUAUCAUGUCUUCAAUUCAAGGCUCCUUAAAAUAGCCUCUCUCAAAGUGCACUACUUCCAGAUGUGGCUCAAUGAAAAACCCACCAAAGUUUUUAAUCCGGACCUGUGACCAUCCGGCACAUGGUAAACUUAGUGACUCCUCCCUCAGCGUCACAUCUCUGCACCCAGGCAGUUAAACCGAAAACCCCACGUCUCCCUUCCAGUUCGUCACGAGUCGUCAUCCCAGAAUCCUUACCCUGGGGGUUUCAUGGCAUUUCUUUGAUUUGAGCGACUCCACGGGUGAUUUGUGGCCUCAAUAACUUUCAAAUGACUGAUUUUUGAGUCAAGUUGAAGCACCGGCAGAUAAAUGCAUAAAUCUUUUUUGAAACCACUUAUGCUUCCAACUGCAGAUCCACUCAUGGAAAAAGCAUUUUCCUUUGGAAAGAAGAGAUGAAGUAGUUCAAGCAAAAAGCUAAGCGUAUUUUUAUAGCUUUAUUAUAAAAAAUAACUAUUUGAUGUGGAAAAACACAUCGUGAUGAGAUGAGUAGCCAGGAAACUCUGCAUGCAGAAUCCUUCCAAGGCGAAGCACAAGAAAAAGGGACAAUAGCCGUCACAGCAGCACUCGGCCACUCAAACUACGGUCUCUCGCGCACGCACGCACGCACGCACGCACGCACGCACACACACACACCUUGCCAACCAGCAGGGGGUAGUGCCGCCCUUUGCAAAGAGCGGAAAGUGGUUUGCAGGAAGGCGAUUAGACGGCAUUCAUCUUACAGGGGCCAAAAGGAAAAUGAGGAGCCUUUGGUCCCUCUAAAAGAGAGGAGGGCAGCUACAGCGGGCUGGACCUGCAAACAGCGCUGAACAUAAAGAGCCUGCCCCCAGAACGACGCAAGCCUGCGAUUGGUCUGCUAACUACGUCCUUUACAGAGUCUCACAUUUCCGCAGAAUGUUUACGGGAGAACGGAUCAGAUUGAAGAACUUUUUUCUAAAGAAAUGCGUCAAUAUGACCACAAGCCGUCAUUGGCGGGUUGUAGAAGCGGGUUGGAUUCACGGAGGGAGAUCUCCGCCAACGUCGGUUUGCCGGUCGAGGGCUGCACAAAGUUGUGGAGGAAAAUACGGGACAAAUGUGUCCGCGAUGAAAAGCAGCAGUGGCGAUGCACGGGGCAAUAAAGUCUAUGAUAAAUAAAUAAACAAAUCAAUAAAUAGACGAGACUCUCUAGGUCGUCUUCAACAAAACACGUUACGCCUGUUCUGGCGCAAGACUUUUAGAACCAUGAAUUGAAACGAGUGCGUCGACGCAGAAGCACACGCCAACCUUAAGCCUGACAAGCACACACAUAAUCACACACACUGAGCAAUGUAUGGAAAAUAAUGAGUACACAUUGAAGUACCGGACAUACACGUGAUGAGCAGCCUACUUUCUUAGUGACUACCGACUUGUUUUAGUCAUGCAACUGAGAGAAGAAGCUGACUAGACUAUUAAGGAGAAGAAGAAGAAACACCCCCCAGCGCUCCCGUCUUACGCAUUCAGCCACCGAGCAGAGAGAAGAGGAUUAGCUCACAAAGCAAGAGUGAGUGGAUAUCAACCCCGCCGGGAAACGGAGCUCUCGUGUCAUCACAGCAGAGCGGCUGAACAGACGACACUCCCGGCAACUUGAGUCAAGGCCAGAGACUCGGCGGUGGUCGCCACGGUGACUCACCAGAUGGGCUCUAAUCUUUCGGCAGGACAUCUGUGUAGUGUAGUUUGAGAUAUCAUAACGGUAAGAUUGACAGCAGAUUAAUCAGAAAAUAUGUUGAUCAUCAAUAAUCAGGUUACAUGACGAUGGGUUAAAGCAGUGUUCAGCGAACUGCACACGUUACUUACACUUGUCACUUUUGUCACUUUGUUCGCUGGUGCACGUUAUUUUAAAAAUAUUUUUAACUUAAACUUGUAUUCCUUUAUUUUAAACUAACCCAUAGCUUUAUUUUUGAUUUUAUUAUUUUUGAUUUUAUUCCUCGUGCACUUUGUCUUGUCGUCCAAUGUCUUACUGUCUGCAGUUACGCACCAACCGCAAGUCAAAUUCCUUGUAUGUCUGACAUAUUAUGGCAAUAAAUGUUUCCUGAACAUUGGGAUCAUGAUGUGUUUCAUUGAAUCGUGUAAAAUGUCGUUUUAGGGAGAUGUUUUCACUGCGAUAUUUAAAAAAGAAUAUUUGAGGGAGUUGUGACCAGUUUGGGGUUUUCAUGCAAAUAAUUCCAAUAGAUGACAAUAAUAAUGUAAAAGGAUAACAUUUAAAAAAUUGUUGCAAAGGGGAGAGAAAACAGGCGUGAGUACGUCGAUAGCAAAGUCAUGUAUUGUGUGUGUAAGAGAUUCCUUGAGCUGACUGGACAGUGUUCUGGCCACAGGAAUGGCGGCCAUGAUUCAGCACAUUGCCUGCAUGUUUAGGGGGGAUGACACUGACUGCCCACGGAGGCCUAGCUAUACAAAUAAAACGACAGCCAUAUUAGACAAAUAAUACGCCACAUGUUGCAGAUUUUGGUUGGGCGAUUCAAUGGUAUACAACAUAAUAAUGUUUCCUUUUCUGCACGGGGGGGGGGGGGGGAGGAGAGGAGACCGUGGAUGCAGACCAGGAGAAAGAAACUCAAAUCGACCCAAGAGAGAAGGAUGAUUACCAUACACUUAGUCUUUGGUAUAUUUAGUUCUGUCCGUUUUUUGAAGUAAAAGAUGGGCAAAAACGCUUUUUGAAAACGCUAGUAAAUAAAUAUAUAUAUUGUGCACACACUGGAAAACAACAC